GCCCUUGCCUGCCGGUCCGCCUUUUGGGGUGUGUACUGGUUAUCGGCGAGGGCUUACCUCGUGGUGAGCCGUCAUGCACUUUAUUGGGUGUGGCGGAUAACCAUGACUUUUACUUUGAAAAAAUUAGAGUGUUCAAAGCAGGCUUACGCCCGAAUACAUUAGCAUGGAAUAAUAGAAUAG
rnacentral:rRNA from 1 species